AAAAAAGAUUUUCCAAGAUAAUUAUAUUUUUUCAUUUAGUAAUAAGGAUAAAUAAUAUAUUAAAUUUCAAAUCACAACAAAAUUUAUUAUUUAUUUUAAAAUAUACACAACACCAAUUUAAUUAAAUAAGCUGCUCAACCAAUUCUAUGCAUGUCAAUCCCCACUUGAUGGUCAGCACCUACAGUAAUUAUGCCAGCCUAAUUUGUACACUAACACAAAUUGUCAAAAUAAAUGGAAAUGUAGCAAUCUUGGCUUAGCUGAAUAGGCCAAAAUGUGUACAAAUAACUUCAAGUAGUUAGCAGAAAUAAGGAAUAAAUAUUUAUUGUAUUGUGCUGUUCACUUUCUAGUUUAAGUUUAAUACAGUACUACUUGAUGCUAUCCAACUUGAGAAUCAAUGUGGAAUGGUCAAGUUAUGUGGUAAAUACAGAUCAUGUGUGAGACAAACAGGCCAGAAUUGUUAUUUGCACAACAAUUGGGAUUUUGUAAAAAUGACAUUUACCACUUGCUAUUGGAUUUUGAAUAUCAAUUUUAACUAAAUUGACACAAAAGAGAGAUAGACAUGCAUAUAAUUGAUUGAGA